CCGGUUUGAAAAAACCGGAGCAUAGCCUAUAUUCCGGGUGCCGCCACGCGCGGCUAUGGCGAUAAAUGGCAUCGAAAUAAGCUCUUCGGACCCGGGGGCGGUACCCGGCGCCUCCACCAAAGCCCGCCAAGGAUGGUUUUUCGGCAGCGGCGGGUUUUGGCGGGGGCGAAACAGGUUCGACGGGGGGUGUAAAGGAUGGCUUUCGCCCGGCAUGGUUCCGCCGACAUCGGGCCAAAUCUAUAGUUGCCAACGACAACUAUGCUCCGGUUGCUCUCGCCGCGUAAUGCGGUGCUAGCGCCGAAAUCAAGCCCUUGAAGUUAGCCCUUCAAGGCGGGGUCCGGAGGCGCCUGGCAACAGAAGCCUCCACU
rnacentral:tmRNA from 1 species